rnacentral:rRNA from 1 species
UACGAAGGGUGCAAGCGUUACUCGGCAUUACUGGGCGUAAAGCGUGCGUCGGCGGUUCGUUAAGUCUGAUGUGAAAUCCCCGGGCUCAACCUGGGACGUGCAUUGGAAACUGGCGAUCUAGAGUACGGUAGAGGGUGGUGGAAUUCCCGGUGUAGCAGUGAAAUGCGUAGAGAUCGGGAGGAACACUCGUGGCGAAGGCGGCCACCUGGACCAGUACUGACGCUGAGGCACGAAAGCGUGGGGAGCAAAUAGG